AAAUGGCCUUAGGUUAAAAUAAUCAAGAGUCAACCUUUUCUUGUUUUUUCUGCUUCUCAGACAAAUCAGUGUUUAGUUUAAUUUUUUAUGUUGCUUGAUUGAAAUUGAAAAAUGUUUAAUGAUGAGGUAUUUUCACUGGAAAAAUGGUUGAUUGUUGGCUUAAAAAGAAAGCUUAAACACUUGAUAACCUUGAUAAGGAAAGGGAAAACUAAUUUGGACAAUCGUUAUUUAUGAUUGAAGUUACCCUUUUAUUAUCUGGUUUGGUUUCUUGCAUUAUUUAUAAUCAUUAUUGGAUUUUCUGCUAAUUAUUGUAACAACAACUGCAAUCUAUCAUCAAAAACUGAUCAAUGAUUUUCUCAGUCAAUUGGAAACUCGUUUUUUAUUCAAUGUUAAAAUUUUAAUUAUAGAUGGUGACACUGUUAGGGUUAAAGCACAUGGACUUGAUGAGUAACUGUGUCAUUUUAUUGUCUAACCAAAGUUGAGUUGCAUAAAGUGAAUUGGAUUUAUUUAAUCAGUGUUAAAUCAGCUUUAAUAUUUUAAGAUUUAAACUAACUCUUAUAAACGUAUUAUCUUUAACAUCUUUGAUCGUUUUAAUUUGGUGGGGUUCUCUUAAUCUGAUUUGGAUCGAGUGUUGACAAGUUUUACUUUUCAUAUCUUUUUACUAUUGGAUCAACUAUUCAACUUGUCAUAUCAAUUGUCGUAACUGUUGCAAGAUCACAUGAAAAAAAAUGUUGGUGUGUUUUGGUGGAUGGAGGAAAAACACUUGCUUCAUUAAGAGGUGAAGGAAGUUAACAAUUAUUGACGGAAAAGAAAUUUAUUUCACGAAAACGUGAUUAUAAAGAUUUGGAUUAUCAUUGAGAUUCAGACUUUUGUGCCAUAAAUAAUUACAUGUCUCAAGACUUACCGAUAAGACCGGUAAUCAGCGUAAUCCCAUAAACUAAUGCCGUUGGAAUGAGAUCAUAAAGAUCAAAGGUGCUCAAGGAUGCUUCAAGAUCAUAAUCAUAUGAGAAGAUAUUGAAAGUUGAGUUUUCGAUGGAAUCUGGGUAAAUUUCAGCCAAUUGAUCAAACUCCAUGGAUGAAUUGUUCCUGGAAUUGAUUGAUCCGAUCAAAUUUGAUAUUAAUCAGAUUCAACGUCAAUUUUUAUCUCGUAUUCACUAAAGUGAUGGUGACUUCGUAACCACAACGAGUUAAUCUAUAUAACUAGAUUAAGAUAAUAAAUACGCGGGUGAAUGGUUUUGAACAUGAACAUACACAUCAUAAUAAAGGAAAGAUUAACACAGAUUUAUAUUAAUAAGGACGCAUCACAUGAACUUGGAUGUAACUUGUUGCGCUUUUGUUUCGACGAUAUUGACAAUUGAAAAGAUGAUGGCAAUGAUAUGGGAAAUGGAAACGAUGUUUAUAAUUAUUAUGGAUUAGCAUUGAUUCGUGCUCGGCUGAUGCAUUUGUUGACAAGAAAACGCAAAUAAUCAAAGGUUAAGACACAUUGGAUUGUACCAGAAAAACAUGGCAAUAUUAACUUAUCCAGUUGAUUUGUGGCAAAACAAUUGAUGGCGCUGAUGAUUAUGAUGAUCAAUUAAAUGUUGACUUUUUCAAUGUAAGUUGACAGUGAAAAAAGAUGUGGAUAAUUAUGAAACAAUCAAUCUAAACAUAUCCAUUGUUUUUCCUUUAAAACUCAGCUCCACUCAAAUAGGAACGAUAUCAACUACUAGGAAAAGCGAAACAUCUUGAAAGCAACUUUUCAACGUUCCUUUGUUGGUCUUAAAUAAUACCCUUUGGGCAUAAAACAAAUAUCAAUAAUAAUGAUGAUUAUGUAGAUAAUGAUGAUCUCUAAUGACGAUGAUUAUGGUGACGAUAAAACUUUAAUUUCUCCUUUUGUCACAAAAACAGGGAAACUUAAAAAUUUUCAACUCUUUUGAUUCUCUCUCAGCCUUAAACAAUCACGUUAUUCUCUGUCCUUAUCAGUUCUAUUCCUAUGAUACAACUGAACCUCAAGAGUUUUUAUUUUUAUUUUCACAUGUGAUAUUAUCAACUGAGCAUGGCUCAAUGUUGGCUCUUAUAACCACUUUUUGAUAGUUUGUUAACGUUUUUAAAGCACACACAAUUUGUUAAUGCUUUACUCAAUCCUUGAAUCUCAAUUCAACAACUAAACUUGAUAAGUUAAAUUGCUUUGUCUUUUAGAUUCCAAUUGCCUUUUGGCUAAAGUAUAAAUGCUAGCUAAACCAACAGAGUUUGAGGUUAGCUCGUAAUGAUUGAUAAUGAAUUGUCAUCAAAAAUGAGUUAAACCCUGCAAUUAGCUAAAUUUCAGACAAAUUAAGUUGUGUCCAUCAAUAACUGAAAUUAAGCUAAAAAUAAAAUAAUUGAUUGGUUAAUAUCAACUCACAACUCAUUAAUAUCAAUUGUUAAUUUGAUUGAAUGACUGGUCCAUAAUUGAUCACAGUUUGAACAGUUGAUUGAGAAGCCGAAAUUGUCAGCUGUUAAAAUGUCAUUUUUAAAUUUUCAUCUCAAAAUUGUGAUCUUUUAAAUUGUCCUUUUCCAAUUUGUCAUUUCACAAAAUUGUCAUUAGUCAGCUUAUUUGUUAUUUGAUAAAAUAACAGUUGGGCUACUUUUUGUUUUCAAUUUUCCCUUUGCUCCAGAAUCUAAACCAGAAGAAAUUCCAAACUCAUUGGAACAGACGAAAAACUGUAAAGUAAAUGUUUGAUAUCAAAUAAGAAAUUGUAUUUUCUAAUAUUAUCAUUAUUUUUUAUUACUUUUUUGACAGUUACUGAAUCUCUCAAGGGUCUUACAUGGUUAGGUAAAAAUGUUUUUGCCUCUAGAGUUGAUCACAAUCAUAAUAAAGUUUACACUGAGACAUAUUUUA